GAAGUGGGUAAAAAUCUGUAAAGCCACGUUACCAUUAGCACGCAGAGAGCCUUUUCUGGAGAUUGAAAGGAAGUUGAAGAGCUGGGUUAGCUAUCAUCGUAAGCUAUCAUCGUUAGUGAUGGCGUAAACCUGGCCAGCUGCUGUGUUAGAAGUUUGACUUCUCAGACUUACUGCCUGUGAAAAGCCCAACCAACCAUGUGAAGAAGAACUGAGGUUUGGGCCAACAGCCUCAGUUGAACUCCCAGCCAGCAGUCAACACCAACUUUUGCCAGCCACGUGAAGAAGGCCAUUUAAAAAGUGGAUUCUCCAGCCCACUGGAGCCACCUCAGGUGACUGCGUGUGGAGCAAAGAAAGGCUAUUUGAGCCCACAUUGCAAAAUUACAAGCAAAUAAAUAAAAUUAUUGUAGUUUUA
rnacentral:lncRNA from 1 species